CCUACGGGGGGCAGCAGUGGGGAAUAUUGGGCAAUGGGCGCAAGCCUGACCCAGCAACGCCGCGUGAAGGAAGAAGGCUUUCGGGUUGUAAACUUCUUUUAAGAGGGAAGAGCAGAAGACGGUACCUCUUGAAUAAGCCACGGCUAACUACGUGCCAGCAGCCGCGGUAAUACGUAGGUGGCAAGCGUUGUCCGGAUUUACUGGGUGUAAAGGGCGUGCAGCCGGGAAGACAAGUCAGAUGUGAAAGCCCGCGGCUCAACCGCGGAACUGCAUUUGAAACUGUUUUUCUUGAGUACCGGAGAGGUCAUCGGAAUUCCUUGUGUAGCGGUGAAAUGCGUAGCUAUACGGAAGAACACCAGUGGCGAAGGCGGAUGACUGGACGGCAACUGACGGUGAGGCGCGAAAGCGUGGGGAGCAAACAGGAUUAGAUACCCCAGUAGUC
rnacentral:rRNA from 1 species